UCUACGGGUGGCAGCAGUGAGGAAUAUUGGUCAAUGGACGAGAGUCUGAACCAGCCAAGUAGCGUGAAGGAUGACUGCCCUCUGGGUUGUAAACUUCUUUUAUAUUGGAAUAAAACGUUCCACGUGUGGGAUUUUGUAUGUACCAUAUGAAUAAGGAUCGGCUAACUCCGUGCCAGCAGCCGCGGUAAUACGGGGGAUCCGAGCGUUAUCCGUAUUUAUUGGGUUUAAAGGGAGCGUAGGUGGAUUGUUAAGUCAGUUGUGAAAGUUUGCGGCGCAACCGUAAAAUUGCAGUUGAAGCUGGCAGUCUUGAGUACAGUAGAGGUGGGCGGAAUUCGUGGGGUAGCGGUGAAAUGCUUAGAUAUCACGAAGAACUCCGAUUGCGAAGGCAGUUCACUGGACUGCAACUGACACUGAGGCUCGAAAGUGUGGGUAUCAAACAGGAUGAGAUACCCUUGUAGUC
rnacentral:rRNA from 1 species